rnacentral:miRNA from 1 species
UCACUCCUCUUCUUCAUGAUG